ACGAACGCUGGCGGCAUGCCUCACACAUGCAAGUCGCACGCGACCUUCGGGUCUAGUGGCGCACGGGUGCGUAACGCGUGGGAACCUGCCCUUAGGUUCGGAAUAACUCCCCGAAAGGGGUGCUAAUACCGGAUAAUGUCUUCGGACCAAAGAUUUAUCGCCUUUGGAUGGGCCCGCGUUGGAUUAGCUAGUUGGUAGGGUAAAAGCCUACCAAGGCGACGAUCCAUAGCUGGUCUGAGAGGAUGAUCAGCCACACUGGGACUGAGACACGGCCCAGACUCCUACGGGAGGCAGCAGUGGGGAAUAUUGGACAAUGGGCGAAAGCCUGAUCCAGCAAUGCCGCGUGAGUGAUGAAGGCCUUAGGGUUGUAAAGCUUUUUUACCCGGGAUGAUAAUGACAGUACCGGGAGAAUAAGCUCCGGCUAACUCCGUG
rnacentral:rRNA from 1 species